CCUACGGGUGGCUGCAGUAAGGAAUAUUGGUCAAUGGACGAAAGUCUGAACCAGCCAUCCCGCGUGCAGGAUGAAAGCCCUAUGGGUUGUAAACUGCUUUUAGCAGAGAAGAAAAGCUUUCAUUAAUGGGAGUCUGACGGUAUCUGCAGAAUAAGCACCGGCUCACUCCGUGCCAGCAGCCGCGGUAAUACGGAGGGUGCGGGCGUUAUCCGGAAUUACUGGGUUUUAGGCGGACGUAGAAGUCAGUGGAGAAAUCUUGUCGCUUAACGAUAAAAUUGCCAAUGAUACUGGUACUCUUGAAUGGGGUUGAGGUUAGCGGAAUGUGAAAUGUAGCGGUGAAAUGCAUAGAUAUGUCAUGGAACACCAAUUGCGAAGGCAGCUAACUGGGCCUUGAUUGACGCUGAGGCACGAAAGCGUGGGUAGCGAACAGGAUUAGAUACCCGGGUAGUC
rnacentral:rRNA from 1 species